rnacentral:rRNA from 1 species
CCAUGAAUCUGGUCUUGGGACACUGUCAGGUGGGCAGUUUGACUGGGGCGGUCGCCUCCCAAAAGGUAACGGAGGCGCUCAAAGGUUCUCGCAGUACGGUCGGAAAUCGUACGUAGAGUGUAAAGGCAAAAGAGAGCUUGAUUGCAAGACAUACAGGUCGAGCAAGGAUGAAAAUCGGACUUAGUGAUCCGGUGGUUCUGCGUGGAAGGGCCAUCGCU